GGGAGGUGGGGGGGCCGGGCUGCGUUUCGAAGUGCGUAUGGCAAAAACAAAAUGUGGCCGAUGGGGGGGGGGGGGGGCGGGGAGGAAAGCGCCGCUGCCUCGCCAGCCCCGGGCCUGUGACACAGGCGGUUUCGCUGUUUCGCUGGCAGCGAGUAUAUUUAGCACUUCCCCGAGCCCUUCGCAUGCUCCAGCCCCGGUGCGGAGCGCUCGCUUAAUUAAUUGACGCAGCUCUCGCCCCGCGGUGCCACAUGACGGGGGCGGUGGGUGGCCGAGGGCACGGCCCUACAGGGCUGGGGAAGAGAGCAGUACCAUCAACUCAGGAAAGCAUCCCAUCCCUUGCUCAGCUGUGUGAGAAAUAGCAGUGCCUGAACCACUCCUCUUGCCUUUCCUAGCCCGUAUUCCUCUGCAUUCACUUUUUGCUUGGAGCUUCCAGAAUUCUCACAUUUGGUCACGUUACCUGUUCAUUUACUUAGUGCUCUUUCUUACAAGUGCUGGUAUUUGAACCGACUGUUGAAAUUAAACAGAAGGCAUACUGCUUCUUCCUGAAGGGACCAUUAAAUUGAUGUAGGAAUUAACUUGAGAGAUGUCAAGUGCUUGAGGUUUCAGUAAAGAAGUUAGUACAGGAAUAAAUCUGGAAUCAUAAAUAUAGAUUUCAUGGGAAGAUAUGUCACUGUACUAUCACAAGAUUAAUCUGUUGGCUCAGGAUAACACUGGCUUUUGACGAGCAUAUCUUCAAAUAUUUAAAAAUCUGUUCCUGUGUUUUACCCUGAAGUGAUGUGGUCCAGCAUUCAUCUGGCUCACAUGCUGGAAAUGAUUUGUUUCUUUUUACAUGAGUCAUUUCUGUGCGUUAAUUGGUUAAUGGUUCUUAUGGUUAAUAGGCUUCUUGUAGGAUUUUUUGCCCUUGAAUUAUCAUGAUUUGGAGUAGUCAAGUUUGACUCAAAUACCAAUGUAGAAAUUCCCCCAGGACUGCUUCUUUCCAAAUAAAUCUUUCUAGGCUAUGUGCCUGUAAAAUUAUCAAUCUUAUUAUUACUUGUAUGUUAGCCUAAGUCAGGGCUGUGGUGGGGUUGUGUUUCCCUACAGCAUGUGUGGACAUUAACUCUUUAGGGUUCAGAGUUGCAGAUAAUGUGGUAAGGGGUUGGCUUCUAGAGGUGCCUUCAUUUACCCAGUAGCAGUGCCGUGCUGUGUACUUUAAUGAGGCAAUGAGUGCAGUGCCAUAGCAGUGAUAUUACUGAUACUUGGGAUUCUGCAUAUUUAAAUAAUAAAAAAGCAGUGUUGCCAGUGCAUGCUCACUCUUAUUUAGGUAUUACAUUAACAGGUAGUGAUCAUUUCCCUUCUUUUGUACAUUAUUGAAUAUAUUUUUCUGUUUUCUCAAAGAUAUUUCUUGCCACAAUUAGGGAAUACACCUGCUGAGAAGGUGGAACGUAAGGCCUUUUAAUGAAUUAUCAUGGUUCAGUUUUAUCCAUUCUGCUUUUAUUGCUGAUGGAGGUCAUUUUAGAUUGCCGAACUUCUAGUUGGGUCAACUUUAUUUAUUGUUUCUUCAGUACUUGAUAAUUAUUAUUGCUUUAAAAUACUGAAUUUCUGGUCUAAGAUACGUAAUGCUGACAGCAUUUGUGAUGUAAUUGUGAAAUCACUGGGAGUUUGUAGCAAGUGUGUUGGUGCCUGGGGGGGAUAAAAAAGGCUUUGUAGAUUUUCAGCCUUGUCAGUUGGUACAUGAGGCCUGGUGCACUUCAAGGGCUAUAAUUUUAAACUAAUGCAACUUCUCCUGAAGUGCAGUUUUUUAAUUCCUUGGUUAAACUGGAAGACUUAAAACCCGAGUCGCUCUGAUGGGUAGAGCCUUUUUUUCCAGUUGCUGACUUAAGUUUUUAAGGCUGUUAUCAUAUCCCUUUUUUCCUUUUUUAACUAAUAGCACUUUUUGUCUUACACAGCCUGCUUUCUUCAUGUUUAUUCCUCUAAUGCUUUUAUGACUAGGAAUUUUAUCACUUAUUCAGUCAGGUAAGCAAACAAAGCUUCUGCUCUAUGGUCAAAGCACUGAUUUCCAACCCCUCCCCUUCCUCUUUCUUUUGAUCAUCCUAAACUGUGUCCAAUCUGCAUAUUUGGCUCAGAUCUGAGAAAGAUUUGCACCUUAGUUUGCCUACUGCCCUCACUUAAAGCAGCAUGGCACACAGUGUCCCUUGGUAUCUCUUAAUAUCCUUCAGAAUGCCUGAAGUCCGUGGUGAGUUAGCUUGCUGUGCUGGGCUUUGAUGUGCAGUGCACUUGGAAUAGCUCAUCAAAGCAGAAACAUGAUUUAAGAAACUAUUCUUAAUCACUGUGCAGUUGUUAGCUGCUGCUCUACAGCUGACGCUGCAUGAAUCGUCCUCCAUUUCCUGCCUCAGAAACUUCGUGGUCCUGUCUUUCAUUUUGGAGCUGGUGCUGUUGUGUCAUUUCCCAGCUGAGGCCGGCAUGGAGUCUGCAGGUGCUUCUCUGCUUCGUUCAGCUGAUUACUGCCGUUGAACAGUUGAGCACAAACCACCGAUGGAGGAGAGAAUAACAGUGAGAGCUCAUGUAGGCAGUCUUCCGUUGUUGCUGGGAAGCAGCAGGAAUGAGCAACCACAUUCUCUAAAGCUAUCGUUUAUGCUGGUGCUCUUCUUUGCUUUUUACUCCUUGUGCUCUAGAUUGAAUCCUUUGGCUACUGUUACUGAUCUUGGCUGAGAAACUGUAAUUUGUAGUCUUAAGACUGCUGCUGGGGAUCACACAGCUCUGUCUCUUAUUAAAAAAUAAACAACAGCCCACAAAACCUUCUGGUGAAUCCCUUCCGUUCUGCAAGCACUGUGCUGUCAUUUGAUGGGUCAAUGUCACCAUUCUGUUGCCAUCUCUGCUACCAGAAAGCUCUUCCGUGUUGAUGCUUGAGUCUUCAUUCUUCUUAAACAGGGCACAUAAAAUAAUCGGAAAGUCUCCAGGCAGCUAUGGGUUGCUGCUCUAAAUUGGGUUCUCACGUGCUUUAUCUCACAGGUAUGUCAGUCUAAUGACCCAUGGUCACUUUGUGAUGGGCUGAGCUUUUUCCUCCUGCUUUCCAAAUGAAGGAGCUGUUUAUGGCAGAAAUAUAUCAUGCCCAAGACUAUGGCUGAAUCUUCUGUGCUGGAAUUCGCUUCUCUUAUUCAAGUUCUUAGGAUUGUCCAGCUCUUUCUGGGCAGCAUCCUGAUUCUCUUUGUAACAUGGUUUUAUCAACAGACAUGACCGUGUUCCUCCAUCUUAUGCUGGGAUUGCUAAUAGGAAAAAAAAAACAUAACAAGCCUAUAAUUCCUAAACCUAGCUGAUUAAUGUUUAAUUCUAGGACAAACACCUUUCCAUCAGUAGAGAAUAGUUACGUGUAGAAGUCUUCAGAAAAGUGGUAUUUUGAGGGGGAAAAAAAAUAGAAAUAAAAAUCAAGAUUUAAAACAUGUUCAGAGUAUUUUGGGGACUUAGAAAAAUCAGAUAGUGUGAUCCAGUUCUUCUGAAGGCAUUUCAGCUCAUUCUGAGUUACUGAACUCAGUGAAGGAAACUGGACAGAAAAUCUGCUUAUUUCCUUAAAUCAGUGGUAAAGUAGUUGAUGUAGUAUUGUUUCGAUUUGUGUAUUAGUUAUAAGUACUUUUUGAUCCAAAUGUGUGGUAAGUGUGUUAAAGAAGAAUGUAAGGAGUGGGGAGGUGGCUGAGAUAGAACCUGUAAGCCCUGCUAAGACAACUGUUAAAUACCGAAAGGUUCUUCAGUCAUUCAAACAGCAAAAUAGAAAGGGGAGGCAAAGCUGUCCUUAAAGGUAAUUGCAUUUAAGCAUUUGGUUCAUUCAUUUUGUAAAAUCAUGGGGGGGGGAAGGCUGGAUGGCUGAUGAAUGUAAGGGUUUAGAAACUGAGGUGGUUAUAAAAGUGAAAGGUGCUAAAGCACUGAAGUACAGAUUGUGUGAUGUGCUCCAAAAACUUUCAAGAGUGCUUUUUUUUAAGCUAUACCAGAGUUGUGGUGUUAAUCUUUUCCAUAAAGAACGUGUAUGUUGAAAUAGCUGAACUACUGCACUUAAUCCAGAUUGGUUUUUUUCUUUUUUAAACAGUAACAAAAACUUGGACAGCUUAGAACUGAACAGCUAUGUAUACUCACGUGGCUUCAGUAGACUUGGGGAAAAAACCUCAUACUGAGUGCUCACCACAGAAAAUAAAAUACAGUCAGCUUAUCAAAAGCAGCUCACGCUGGAAUAACCUGGUGUCUUCUCUGGCAAGACUACAGUAAGGUCCUUGAUGGGAACCUAUAUGGAAGAAUGCUAUUGAAGCUGCACUUUUAUCAAAAGAGCUGUAAUGUUGUUGACAAGGUUGCCAGGAAGUGGUGACAGGUAGUUUAGGAAAUGGAAGGAGAGGAAUGGGGGCAGGUUUUAGAGAACGUGCCUUUCAUGUGUGGCUUAGGUAUAAGGGGUGCCUAUACCUGCUAGGGCUUUGCACGAUGGACAUUUAAUAUUCAGAAUUAAAAAUAAAUCAGGAAGUCUAGAGACAUAGUGGUCACUUCACUACUUGAAGUGACACAAACUUUGCACUGAUGUGUUUUCUGAACUUCUGAAAUUCUGUUUUCUUUUGUCUGGAGUUUGCUGUUGACAACUGGUAAGCACUGACUGAACUACUAAUGUGAAUGUUCAAGUGGAAGCAAGUAAUACUGCUCUCUUUCAAUUUGUGUUGUGUGUUAUUUAUAAGAAGCUGUGAGGUCAUUGGCUUCCUGUAUGAGCCACUUCCUGAAAGCUUUUGUUUUACAUGGUAAAUCUAAAAAUGUAUUUCUUCGAAAAACUCAGCUGUGUUUUGUUUUCUCUUCUCUUGCUUCUGUCUCCUAAACUCUUGCUUCUGCUCCAUUGCUUAUUGCAGGCCAGGAUACGUUGUAAUGGAGGGCACGAGCUCUGCUCUAGGAGUGCUGCAGAGAAAGGUAGUUCCAAAAAGCCAUCACCAUUGGUAGAGUUGGAGCAGCUUAAAGCAGGCUGACAUGCAGCAAUAUUGACAGCCUCAAAUGUUAGUAAACAUGAGUCAUACAUAGGCAAAUAAUCAGUUUACGUCUAACAUUAGCAAAACCUGAACUAGCAAAACUAUUCAGUGCAUUAUAUUCAUGUUCAGUUCUAAAUAUCUAAGGGACAGUUAUUGCUGUGCAAUGCUGUAGUUGAAAUUACCUGCAGUUUUUCUUUUAAGGUUCUCAUACAGUCAGUGGCUUCUGAAUGCUUAGUUUUUAAAACAAACCAUCGAACUUCAUCAGACUUCAAGGAUUUGGCAAUAAAAGGAGGCAAACAUAUAUAUGUGCGUGAGAAAGGAAGCGAGCAGCCAUGCUUGAUUAUUCUGUGAUGUUACAAUCAAUGUUCUAUGAUUUGAAAAAAAAAAAGAUUUAAUCGAAGUCCAUGUAUUUUAAAACGUUGGAAUAGAGUCAUGAGAGAGCAAUAUAAAAUGAGCUGUAGCUGAUAAGUGCGUGUGUGUGUGAAGAUGAAGAGCUCAUCUCCUCGGAAAAGUUAGAAUUCCAAGGUAGUUUAGAAGAAUUGUCUGUUUUUCAACCAAGUUACUAAAAACAUGUAUAAUUUUUAAAGGGAAUAUAAUAUACAGUGUAUGGGUCACCUAUUUUAACUUUGUUUUACUUUGCUAAGCAAGGCUAAUAGCUAUACUAGCAGAGCAAAGAGAACCUAGAACAGCUCUAUAAACAAGUACUUUGGUCUAUGAAUUACCUGAAGUUUUAAAAUGUAUGGACAUACAGAGCUGCUGCUGUGAAAAGGAGAACCUCAUGUCAGUUUGAAGGUGCAAGAAAAACAAAUUGGUUUUGUGGCUAAUACAUACUUGUUCAAUUCAUAUGAUGUAUUUUGUUUAAUGACCAUAGAAGAUAAUACUGAGACUUGCUAAACUUCAUAGAAGUAAUAGCGUUGGGAAAGCCUUAAUACAAAUAUUUCUACAACAGACAAACAGUUAAAAUAGUUUGUUUUUUCUUUGUUUUUUCUUUUUUUUUGCCAAUCAGCGCACUGUUUUAUUGCAGCUACAGAGUCAUUCUCUACAUCUCCAUCAAGCCUUGCUGCCUGUUGGCAGUAUUCCUGUACAUUUCAUGGUAAUUUUAUCGGUUAUUAGCACUUGUCAAUAGCUUGUCCGUCAUAAAUCUCACAUCUCCCAAACCCUGUCUGCUCAUACCAGAAUCAGUUCGCAGACUUCUAAAAAUGCUAUUCAGACCUCAGCUUCAUGUGGCUUCAGUUGCUGUAGGCUGAAGAAUGCAGACUUAAAUUGACUUGAGAUAGCCAUGUUUGGUGUUCUGUUGAUACUUUUCCCCUCUCCUUUCUUGUCCAAGUUUGAAACUUGUGAAUGUGAAGAAGUGGAAGCAAUGCCUGCAUCAGUACUUUCUUAAUCCUGAGAUUGGUUCUUGAAAAAUUUCUCUCCUAAUGUGAAAGUAAUGACUCUGUGCUGAUGUUAUUGAGAACUGUGGGAGCAUACAUUUGUUUUAUAUUAGACUCUUAACUUUACCUUAGUAGUUUCAGUUUGUGUGUGUUAAUGUGAGGUGCUGGUUUACUGUCCCAGUAUCGUAAUGCAAUCACUGCACUGUCAGAUUGGCACAUGAUUUUGAUCAGUUCUGAGAAAUAAAUAACAGGUAGAAGUUACCAGUGUGGUUAGGCUGAAACAACGUAUCUGAUUGUCAGAUAUCAGCUCCAGGUGGACCUCUUCGGGUUUCACUGCGUUCCUCUUUGUGUUGUCAUUCACCUGUAAAGGGAAUCUGGGAGUGCUUAAUUGAAUUAGUUCUUACCUAUUCUGUCCAGCACGUAGUCUGGUUACUCAGCUGGUGAAGAAACUCAGGACCAUGACGAUGAGCUGCAAUGACCUGUGAUAGAAAAAGGGUUUGUGUAAGUGACCUAAGUCUUUAGGUUGUGGUACGCACCAACUUGUGUACAUCUGCUUUGUAGGAAUAGAGCUGGAAUUCCAGAAUUUUAAGUGAUUCAUGGAUUGGAGGAACACCCUGAUUUUUUGAUACUUAAAAUGCAUAGUUUUGGGGAUGGAGCUUCGGUGCAUAGACUUAACUGAAAAUUGGGUUGGAAUUGAGAAGAAAGCCUGAAGUACUUUGCAAAAGGAUCUUCAGUAUCUGUAUGCUUUUCUGAAAUUUUUUUCUGUUUUAAAUUAGGUGUGGAAUAAUUUCUAACAAUCUUUGCACUGUUAUUGUAUUCUUAACUGCGUAGGCACUGUGAACUUGUGGAGAUUUUGCAUAGGUCACUAAGCAAGGGUAAUAAUAUGGCUUAACUGCUGCAGUCGCACUGAAACAUAAUAAUUACAAUAAAAAAAAAAUGAAGUAAACUGAGAGUUAAGCAGAAAGGCUCUUAACAGCACAUCACUGCAGUUUCAGAUAGCUAUCACUAGGAGGACACACAGACCACGACAUUAAGGAGCUACUUGUUUACCUCUUCGUAUUAACUGGUUUGAUGCUAGUUCAUAAAAUACAGCAAAGUACAUGGUGAAAGGUUGCUGUAUUCUAAGUUGUAGCUUCAGAUAUUGCUCUACUCAAAGUAGAGAGUUGUCUAACAGAAGAGAAAGGAGUACGAUAACAUUUGGAAAUCUCUCGGUGCUUGCUUUGUCAUCAAAUCAGCAGAAUGCUUAUUGUCGUGUGCAUAUGCCAGGCAGUAAUUGAUGACGUGUAGGUGGAAGUGAUUUUUUUUAUUGGUUAUUGUCCAGUUUUCUAUUGCAGUAAUUUUUAGUACCUUUUUCUGUUACGAAUGCUUCUGCUGGGCAGGGUGCUGUGUAAGAUAGAUCACUGGCUGGGAUUUGGUGCAGCAUUUCUAGUCAUCUUGGCUAACGCUUAAUCUGUUUGUGGUCCUGCACGGUGUUUGCGGAUAGCUUUUCUUCUAAUUGUCUGUGCAUGUUUAUUUAGAUUCUGAUGUACAGUAUCUGUACUGGGUUAAGUAAAAUGGAAAUGAUGUAAGUAGUCUGUAGACUGCCCAUGUUGCUGAGGCAAGCUGUUACCUAAUAAGGAUUUCAGAAUCUGACUCUUUCUGUAUAGGAUCAUUAUUGAUAUCACACAUGCAGACAAAGAUGGUAACUGAAGCAUAUGCUUUAAAUAAAAUGACACGAGAAAAUGAAAAAUGGUUUCGAAUUUAAAAUUAGUGAAGGAUUCAUGAAAAUAACACCAGAUGGAGAGAAAAAGAAAGUAAGACAGAUUAUUAAUAAAUAUGAUGUGCUACUGUUACAUAGAAUAUAAUCUUGCAGGCUGCCAGUGUGUGAAAUUCAUUGUGACUUCUGUAAGAGUCGCUUUGUUGCAUAAAGUGAAAAUACGUCAACUGACUCUUCUGGAAUAAUACCUGGUAUUCUAAAUAAGAGCACAGCCCAGUUUUAGGUAGUUCAGAAUUAUUAUGACCCACCAGAUCUGGUUAGAACAGAACAGUCCUAAAGAAGUGUUAUUUAUGGAAUUUAUACAGUUUUACAUCUCUGGAUUCAUGUACUUUAUUUGGUUUGAGACAUUUUCCUCAGUAGUGCAGCUGGUUUCUAUAGCUGAAUUUUGUAGGACAUAGCAACACAACCACUCUAUCUCCCUGCAAGAACACAGGUCUGGGACUGUUGAGUGGAUGCUUUGUUGAAACUUGUGUUUAAAUCUGUUCACUUCUUACUCAUUUACAUCAUAGUUUAAGUUUUCAUCUAGCUGUUGGUUCUUACAGUAUCACUUUGAUUCCGAGCAGAACUUGUUUUAUUUUCUUAUAAUAUUUUUGCCCAUCCGUUUCUACUCUCCCAGCUAGUUGACUUCCAUAUGUUAUUAUGGGAAUCAGUCUCUUUUGUAUCACAAAAUCCUGGUGUGCUGCUUCAGGCUCUUAAUGGUCAAAAAGCAAGGGCACAGCAGGCUUCCAUUUGUUAUCUGUGCAGGCUCUAUGGAUAGGACUGGGCACUGUGCAAAUCUCAGGCUUUAGCCCCCUGAACCACGUGCAUCUUUAUAAUUUGAGUUGAAUUACACGUUUGUCAAAGCAGCUCUUUUUGUGGAACAGUGUUGCUAGGGGGUCUGCAGAGAUUCUUUUAUUUUCAGAACUUUCUAGGUGUCUGGAGUAGGACUUAGCAAAAUGCUUCAGGUGACAUCUGUCUUUAUCAAGGCUUCUCAUGCUGUCUUUAGGAUUUCCAUUUUAAAGAUCCUGCUCUAAAACUAAUCCAAAGUAUUCUAAAUAACAAUCGAAGUAAGAAUGGAAACUGCAUAGUACUGCUUAUCUUAUUUGAGAUCUACAGCAUUUUUGUUCUAGUUAUAAUUUUGGAAAAAAAUGUUAGGCCUUGAAGGUGGAGAUGAGGCCCUGUAUGGGAACUGUUGAGGCCGAGCCUGAACCACUGAUUGAGCACCUGGGGCGAGGACCCGGUCAGCCCUAGGAGCACAGGUGAAGGCAGUUCAGCUCUGUGACCAGAAGGGGUGGAGCCUGGAUGCACCUCUUACUUAGAUCUCAUUUAAGGACUAACUGCCACUGGGGAAGGAUCUCUUUCUGGAGAUCCCUCCUUGGUGAAGCUUUCCCCUGUGAAUAUGGAAUCUUCUGAUACAGGUUUUCAAUGACCAUUCUGUUACUGUAACCACCAUGGAUGCGAACGCUGUGGUGAUAAAGGCUUGCUAUUUUCUCCUACUGGAUUCCUCAAAUCCAAGAGCUACUCAGCAGUUUCCAAGGCAACCACCUGUGGAAUAAUUAAAAAGGAUGAAGUGUUAGUGUGCCAGAUGAAUGGAAUUCUUGCCUGGAGAGAGCACUUCAUUUUCAGCUGUUCUGAAGAAUCAAAUGUGAUUCUGCCAGCACAGUUCAGGUAGUACAACUAAAGAAUACUGAUUUUAUUAUCUGGAGUUACUGAAAGUUUGUGUAAGAGCAGCAAUCCCAGUAUGUCCAUGCAGUAUUCACUUAAAAUGGUCAUAGAUUCUUUAGUGUUAAUCUUUAUAUAUAUACUUGAACAAAAUUCAGGAGCAGGAUAAUGGAAGAGCAAUGUGGGUGAACAGUGUUUCAUGUAAGUAAAACACUUAGUUUUUGCUGUCUUUACGCACAGAUGAUUUUAAGCUGGUAAGGACUGAAAUGGAACGUACAUUAGUGGAAGCAUAAAUAUAGGAAGUGGAGACUUCAUGCCAAGUGCACUGAGAUUUCUUUGGCGUUCAGAAGAGUGAUGGAUAUAAAAGGAAUACAGGAGUGGGUAUUCACAGCAGAAUGACAGAAUCAAGGCUGUUUCUUUAUCCCAUAGCUUACUAGAGAGUGUGCAGUGAUUAAGUUGAUUUUGGAUCUCUGCUCUGGUGAAGCAGUAGCUAAAACCACUUUUAAGACAGCAGAUUGAAGAGGUGAAAUUUCAUAGUGGUGGACCAAAAGGUAAGGAAAAGAGCUCUAUUAGAAUAACAAAAACCAAAAAUGCCAAAUUCAGCUCUGAAAGUUUAAAACAUUACUACAAAAGUUUAUGGAGAGCUCCUAGGCUCUAGAUAGAACUAGAAACAUUAUUUAAGUAUAAGAUGUUGCUGGACCUAUCUGCUUAUUAUAUCUUCCUUCUCUGCCAGUCAUUCAAACACACUUGAAUAGAAAAAUAUUAUUCAUUUCUGACAAUGAAGUUAAAUGGAGAAAGCCACAUUCACGUUCUUCUCAUAGUCCAAAUAACUACUCAGUUAAGUUUGGUCACCUAGUUUAAUGCUUUUGUAUAGUUAGUUUUGGGUGUGAUGCUUUUGUGUCAUUUAUUUUAAGAAAAAAAAAAUUCUAAAUUUUGAAGUAGAAAUAUUUGGGAUACCAUCUGGACUUUACAUAAUAAAUUUUUACUGCCAAAAUGUUUGUGGGAUUCUGUUCGGAUGUGGAUGGGAUUUCACAUUCCAUGCCUUUUACAGCACAAGAGGAUCAUUGUUUUUUAGAUAUGGUGGGUCCAAGAAGAAAUAGAAAUUGCUUGAUGGCAGUUUUGUGAUUUGAUGGAAUAUAUAUAGAAGCCCCCGUUCAUCUAGUAACUAUUGUCACCUCUUAGAGCUGUUAAGAAUCUCAAAAGCUAAUGUUUGUAGGUACAGUCUGAGUGAAAUGGUCAUUUUAAACCCUAAUACUUACUUUGCAUUUCUAGUUUUACUGUCGUCACAGCUCAACUAUUAGAUUGUUUAUUUUGAAGUAAUGCUUCAGGCUGUCCAGUUUAAUCAGUAUACAGCUGAGGGAAGCUUUUCUUUUUAAGGAAAAACUACUGUUUUUUCCAUAUGAAAAGAUGCUGGUGAAGUAUCUGCAGCAGGCAUGGAGAAUAUAAUAUAAAGUUGACACACAGAGCAGGUAGAGGAAAGUAUGUGUGUAUGUAUGUACAUGUGGAUCCAAAUCCUUUGCUUUCCAAGAAACAUGAGUAACCCUGAAAGAUAAUGUGUAUACUUGUGGAAGAGUGUCCAGAUGUAUUUAUGUAUGUAAGACUAUAACAUGAUAGCUAUGUAGCAACUGAUUGAAGUAAGUCUGCAGUCCCAGGGGUAUACAGAGAAAAGCUUCAUCCUGGACACACUUUGAAAGCAUCUUCAACAUAUCCAAGUACCUCAGUUUUUCUUUUUCCCCUCAAAUAAUGUGGGUGAGAUUAUUCUCAUGAAACUUAAACCUUCCAGGUAGUGGUAAAGCUGAUUGUGGAAAGCAGGUAGGGAACUUCAGGGAGCUGCUCAGCCUAUGCCUUUGAAAAGAAUGAUGACUUCUGGAGGCACAUACCUUGUACUGUUGAUUCAGCCCACUAAUUAAGCCUAGAUGUUUGAUACUGAUGGGUGUGUUUAUAUGUGAAACUCAUGUACACACACUUUUCU
ensembl:lncRNA